UACGUAGGGGGCAAGCGUUGUCCGGAAUCAUUGGGCGUAAAGAGCGCGUAGGCGGCCCAGUAAGUCCGCUCUGAAAGUCAGAGGCUCAACCUCUGAAUGCGGGUGGAUACUGCUGGGCUAGAGUCCGGAAGAGGCGAGUGGAAUUCCUGGUGUAGCGGUGAAAUGCGUAGAGAUCAGGAAGAACACCGGUGGCGAAGGCGCUCUGCUAGGCCGCAACUGACACUGAGGGACGAAAGCUAGGGGGAGCGAAUGGG
rnacentral:rRNA from 1 species